UGGGGUGUAGAUUGGCCUGAGCAAAUGUGGUGCCGGUGGAACGAAAGCCUUAGGAGGAGUUAGCCACAUUCCAAUGUGUGCGGAUCGGCAAGAAAUGCGGAAUAACCCUUUAACCGUACAUUUGACAGAUACGCGCGCAUUGACUUUUUCGUAGAUCUUAUUGAGUUACAUGUGUGUGUCAAUUUUUGUGUCAUUUUGACAAAGCGUAUAGGCGUGACACUCAACAAUGUGUAUUUUCACCUUAGGGGACAAGAAAAAAUGGACUUUUUUCUCCUGCCAUGGGGGGGCGCUCUUUUGGGGAGUAAAAAUUCCUUCACAAAUGUGUUGAUGGCUGGACAUUGCAUCAUCCUAGAAAACUUGGAGGCCAGUGAGGACAAAAAUAAAAAGUUAUAAGACUUUUAAAUAUGUGGAUUUUAGUGUUAUCUUUGUCGCCCCCUAGAACCUAAACCGUGGGGUGCAGCGUCAUGAUUUUGAUAACUUUUAAUGGCCACGGGGUGUAGAUUGGCCUGAGCAAAUGUGGUGCCGGUGGAACGAAAGCCUUCGGAGGAGUUAGCGAAAUUCCAAUGUGUGCGGAUCGGCAAAAAAUGCGAAAUAACCCUUUAACCGUAAUUUUGACAGAUACGGCCGCACUGACUUUUUUGUAGAUCUUAUUGAGAUACAUAUGUGUGUCAAUUUUUGUGUCAAUAUGACAAAGCGUACAGGCGUGACAGUCAAUAGUGUGAAUUUACACCUUAGGGGGCGCUAUGGAGCCAUUUUGCAUUUUAUUGUUUGGGCGACUUCAGAAUAUCGAAUUUUUCACCAGGCCCGGUCGUCCUGCCAAAUUUCAUGAGUUUUCGCCAGUGGGAAGUGGGCCAUUUUCCAGUUCAAAGGGGAGGAAAAAGAAGAAAGAAAGAAAGAACUAGGGCCCCGUUGGGGCACUGGCGGGCCCGAGCCGUGUCGCGCUGCCCCCCCCAACGCGCUGCCUCCCCGUCCCAUUCGCGUCCUCUGGCCAUCGCCCUCUCUGGUAACGCCCAUCACUGCAAAGACCCUUUCCUUCAUCGGCGUUUGCUGUUCUUCCUGCCAGUGCGUGUUGCUUUCACUUACACUUGCCACAGCCAGCCUCGUGAGUGCCUAGCCUAUUGGAUAUCACUGUCAUCUACACAGGACAGUCAUAACCUUUCUAUUAAUACUUGUUUUUUAAUUUCACAUUAAUUUCAAUAUUGUAUAAAUGACUGGAAAAAACUUGAGCCCCUGCCCCUGUAUAAUCAUGUGCACGUCCCUGUUCUAGCUCCAAGGUGAAUCUUCACUGCUCAUGUUCUCCUCAGAAGUAGUCACCUCACUCCCCUCAGGUGACUGUACACAUGCACCAACUGCCUGCUUCAGGUUUGGAUGGAGCUUCAUGGUUGUCUUUUGGAGAAAUGAGCAGUCAAGUUGUGUUUGAAGUUUGUGUUUGAAAGAAAGGGACUUUUAUCGACUUCUUCUGGAGUUUAGAGACUCUGACAUGAAGCAGGCUUUCCUUACUGAGGAGUUAGCAACGCUGCUAAGGGUGCAGAGCCACACAUGCGCUCCGAGCUCUGCAUGGGAGACUAAAGCUGACAGAGCUGCAGCAGUUAGCAGGUUUCACCCUCAGAGACCACCAGGGGUUCAUGUUGAGGCAUUUUCAGUUUGUUUUUUUUUUUUGCCAUAGACACUGUCAGCACAAUCUGCAGUUACACUAACAAAAAUGCUGCAAAAAACAAAGAAUUAUGGAAAAAUUACACAUGGACUGACAUAGAGGAGGAUCUACACAAGUUUUUUACAUCAUGUUUUACAUCAUGCAUCAUUUACAUCAUGUUUUUUUGUAGUGGCAUAAAUAAAAAGUGACAUUUGUGAGACUAUACAGUGUUUUGAAAAUAAUUUUACAAAGAACGCCUGGGCCAUUGCCUGCAUUUUGAUGUAAAUAGAUGUAAAUUACUAUGUUCUUUGUUAAAAAUUUGCAUAUGUUUUGAAGUUUACAAUUUUUAUUUGAAGUUUAAGUUUUAAAAACAGUUCAUCACACAUAUUUGUGGUUUAAUUUCACAUUAAUUUCCAUAUUGUAUAAAUGACUGGAAAAAACUUGAGCCCCUGCCCCUGUAUAAUCAUGUGCACGUCCCUGUUCUAGCUCCAAGGUGAAUCUUCACUGCUCAUGUUCUCCUCAGAAAUAGUCACCUCACUCCCCUCAGGUUACUGUACACAUGCACCAACUAUCUGCUUCAGGUUUGGAUGGAGCUUCAUGGUUGUCUUUUGGAGAAAUGAACAGUCAAGUUGUGUUUGAAAUUUGAUUUUUUUUAGGGGCAAAAGGAAGCCUCUGCAUUCUUGUCAAAUAUGUAAACAGCAUGUUUUUGCAGGUGCUAAAAAAGACUCUGAGUGUGUGUGUGUGUGUGUGUGUGUGUGUGUGUGUGUGUGUGUGUGUGUGUGUGUGUGUGUAUCCUGCAGUACUCUGUACUCCUGCAGUGGCCAAAAAGACUUUUAAGAAUGUGGAUUUUUGGGUCAUCUUUGGCGCCCCCUAGAACUGCAGUACUCUGUACUCCUGCAGUGGCCAAAAUGACUUUUAAGAAUGUGGAUUUUUGGGUCAUCUUUGGCGCCCCCUAGAACGUAAACCGUGGGGUGCAGCGUCAUGAUUUUUACAACUUUGAAUGGGCAUGGGGUGUAGAUUGCCCUGAGCAAAUUUGGUAUCGGUGGGACGAAAGCCUUAGGAGGAGAUAGCCACAUUCCAAUGUGUGCGAAUCGGCAAAAAAUGCAAAAUAGCCCUUUAACCGUACAUUAUACAGAUAUGCGCUCUUUGACUUUUUCGUAGAUCUAAUUGAGAUACACAUGAUUGUCAAUUUUUGUGUCAAUAUGACAUAGCGUUCAGGCGUGACACUUAACAAUGUGUAUUUUCAUGUAAGGGGACAAGAAAAAAUUGACUUUUUUCUCCUACCAUGGGGGGGGGCGCUCUUUUGGGGAGUAAAAAUUCCUUCACAAAUGUGUUGAUGGCUGGACAUUGCAUCAUCCUAGAAAACUUGGAGGCCAGUGAGGACAAAAAAAAAAGUUAUAAAACAUUUAAGAAUGUGGAUUUUUGGGUUAUUUUUGGCGCCCCCUAGAACCUAAACCAUGGGGUGCAGCAUCAUGAUUUGAAUAACUUUUAAUGGCCAUGGGGUGUAGAUUGGCCUGAGCAAAUGUGGUGCCGGUGGAACGAAAGCCUUCGGAGGAGUUAGCGAAAUUCCAAUGUGUGCGUAUCGGCAAAAAAUGCGGAAUAACCCUUUAACCGUACAUUUGACAGAUACGCGCGCACGGACUUUUUUGUAGAUCUUAUUGAUAUACAUGUGUGUGUCAAAUUUUGUGUCAAUAUGACAAAGCGUACAGGCGUGACACUCAACAAUGUGUAUUUUCACCUUAGGGGACAAGAAAAAAUGGACUUUUUUCUCCUGCCAUGGGGGGGCGCUCUUUUGGGGAUUAAAAAUUCCUUCACAAAUGUGUUGAUGGCUGGACAUUGCAUCAUCCUAGAAAACUUGGAGGCCAGUGAGGUCAAAAAUAAAAAGUUAUAAGACUUUUAAAUAUGUGGAUUUUAGGGUUAUCUUUGGCGCCCCCUAGAACCUAAACCGUGGGGUGCAGCGUCAUGAUUUGAAUAACUUUUAAUGGCCAUGGGGUGUAGAUUGGCCUGAGCAAAUGUGGUGCCGGUGGAACGAAAGCCUUCGGAGGAGUUAGCGAAAUUCCAAUGUGUGCGUAUCGGCAAAAAAUGCGGAAUAACCCUUUAACCGUACAUUUGACAGAUACGCGCGCAUGGACUUUUUUGUAGAUCUUAUUGAUAUACAUGUGUGUGUCAAAUUUUGUGUCAAUAUGACAAAGCGUACAGGCGUGACACUCAACAAUGUGUAUUUUCACCUUAGGGGACAAGAAAAAAUGGACUUUUUUCUCCUGCCAUGGGGGGGCGCUCUUUUGGGGAUUAAAAAUUCCUUCACAAAUGUGUUGAUGGCUGGACAUUGCAUCAUCCUAGAAAACUUGGAGGCCAGUGAGGUCAAAAAUAAAAAGUUAUAAGACUUUUAAAUAUGUGGAUUUUAGGGUUAUCUUUGGCGCCCCCUAGAACCUAAACCGUGGGGUGCAGCGUCAUGAUUUGAAUAACUUUUAAUGGCCAUGGGGUGUAGAUUGGCCUGAGCAAAUGUGGUGCCGGUGGAACGAAAGCCUUCGGAGGAGUUAGUGAAAUUCCAAUGUGUGUGGAUCGGCAAAAAAUGCGGAAUAACCCUUUAACCGUACAUUUGACAGAUACGCCCGCACUGACUUUUUUGUAGAUCUUAUUGAGAUACAUGUGUGUGUCAAUUUUUGUGUCAAUAUGACAAAGCGUAAAGGCGUGACAGUCAAUAGUGUGAAUUUUCACCUUAGGGGGCGCUAUGGAGCCAUUUUGCAUUUUAUUGUUUGGGCGACUUCAGAAUAUUGAAUUUUUCACCAGGCCCGGUCAUCCUGCCAAAUUUCAUGAGUUUUCGCCAGUGGGAAGUGGGCCAUUUUCCAGUUCAAAGGGGAGGAAAAAGAAGAAAGAAAGAAACAAAGAAAAACCCCUUGGGGAAUAAUAGGGCUCUCGCAGCUGCUUAGCAGCUACGCUCGGGCCCUAAAGAAAGAAACUAGGGCCCCGGUGGGGCACUGUCGGGCCCGAGCCGCGUCGCGCCGCCCCCAGCGCGACCGCCUCCCCCUCCCGAUCGCGUCACACUCAAGGUCCAAAGAUGGUGUGCGCACUUGUCUGUGGUCAUUUCCAAUUAUAAUGAAUGGGAGGCGCAGUUUCUACCAAA
rnacentral:lncRNA from 1 species